rnacentral:rRNA from 1 species
UACGUAGGGUGCGAGCGUUAAUCGGAAUUACUGGGCGUAAAGCGUGCGCAGGCGGUUGUGCAAGACAGGUGUGAAAUCCCCGGGCUUAACCCGGGAACUGCACUUGUGACUGCACGGCUGGAGUGCGGCAGAGGGGGAUGGAAUUCCGCGUGUAGCAGUGAAAUGCGUAGAUAUGCGGAGGAACACCGAUGGCGAAGGCAAUCCCCUGGGCCUGCACUGACGCUCAUGCACGAAAGCGUGGGGAGCAAACAGG